AUUGAACGCUGGCGGCAGGCCUAACACAUGCAAGUCGAGCGGAUGAAGGGAGCUUGCUCCUGGAUUCAGCGGCGGACGGGUGAGUAAUGCCUAGGAAUCUGCCUGGUAGUGGGGGAUAACGUCCGGAAACGGGCGCUAAUACCGCAUACGUCCUGAGGGAGAAAGUGGGGAUCUUCGGACCCCACGCUAUCCGAUGAGCCUAGGUCGGAUUAGCUAGUUGGUGGGGUAAAGGCCUACCAAGGCGACGAUCCGUAACUGGUCUGAGAGGAUGAUCAGUCACACUGGAACUGAGACACGGUCCAGACUCCUACGGGAGGCAGCAGUGGGGAAUAUUGGACAAUGGGCGAAAGCCUGAUCCAGCCAUGCCGCGUGUGUGAAGAAGGUCUUCGGAUUGUAAAGCACUUUAAGUUGGGAGGAAGGGCAGUAAGUUAAUACCUUGCUGUUUUGACGUUACCAACAGAAUAAGCACCGGCUAACUUCGUG
rnacentral:rRNA from 1 species